AUAAUCUACCUAACUGCUUACAGAUGUGCACAGCCUCAGGGAGGACGAGCCUCAGGGAGGACGACACCUCCAAACGCUACAUUUAAGAUCAAAACGUUCAGACCUCGCAUGGGACAUGAAAGCCUGCCUGUGCCAUUCCAUGAAAAACUGGGGAGGCCAGCACCUUUCUGCUUGUGACCGGACACUUCACCUGCCAUUCAGCCAUUGCCAGCCACUCUUACUGUCACAGCGACAAAAAUCAGCAAGGGCUGUGCAAAGCCGUGUUUGCUCCCUCCACACAUGGCGGUCCCUGUAAAGAUACUGCAUUGACAGUCCCACGGCUAAAACCUGCUGGAUGUUUAUAACCUGCUCCCUGCCUGAAGCUGCAGAAGGAUUGAAAAUCUAAUGGUUGCUCUGUAAGUUUCCGAGGAGAGGGGAGCAUAGCACGGGCUCAGGGCAGAGAGCCCCGACAGCAGGGCUGAAGCACCCCCAGUACCACAUCCACCAGACUCCAGGUAAUAAUGUCUGCAAAGGAAAUGACAAGAGAAGAAAAACACAGCCAGUGCAUAUCAGCAAUUAAUUCCAUCCACAACUGCCCAGCUGUUUGCGCACGGAGGAACUGGCCUGUUUCCCCUCCGAGCUUUGGCCACUGAAAGCUGAUAUGGCACUUUUGGAGAUGUGGGCUGCUGGUAACGCGUCAGGAAUGCGCGCGAGAUCACUCGGAGCUGAAGGAGAAGAAAUGAAAUCCAGACUGGAGUGCUGAGUAUCUGUGUUAUGAGGAUAAAGUUAUCUGGGGGAGAGGGCGGUCGAGGGGGGAAGCGGAGCCGCCAGCAAAGCCAAGCUCAGCAUGCAGGACACAACCAUCACUGGCAGAGACAAGGUGGGAUGACCUCAGAAACCUGCACGUCUACAUCAGCUCUGCCAAGGUGCUUUUACGUUGGCUGAUGUCAGAUUUGGGAUUUGGGGGAACUUUACAAAAGCUGUCACUUUCACUUGGGAUCGCACUUUCCCAGCAAAGUUGUUAUAGAGACUCAACUCCAUCUGUUUGAGAGUAAGACUUAUUAGUAAGAAAUUACUACUUAUUGGUAAGUAAUCUCACCAAUGCUUGCAGCCUUGAAGCUCCAGAACUUAAGGCAGAAUUCAGUCCUUUAGAGUCUUUUCUAUGAAUGAAAUUCCCUUAUGUCAUCCUUGGGAUUUCAGGAAAGACCUUGAGUAUAUAAAAGGGGGAUGCUAUUGAUACCAUCAACAAACUCACCCUGCUGAGCCCUGGAAAUUUCAUCCCACUCAAAGUCACCAGUUUACAUGAGAAGCUCAUUUUUUCCUCUAAUAUAUUUUAAAAACAAAAACAACAUGUAUUUUUUUUCCUCCCUCAAUUCAAGCCAGUCCCCAUUUAAAAAUUCCAAAUUGAUUCCUUCUUGCUGGGUAAAGCCAUACACAGCAAAACACUUCUAAUAUAUAUUACUGGCAUUUUUUUCUUCAGCUCCAAUACCACCAGUAAAAAAGAGCUCCUUUGAUCUUUAGUAGCAGCAGGUCACCUUUUCACUGGCUGAAGCACUCAAUCAUCUGCACAGGUAUUCAAAAGAAUGACACCAAUAGGGAAGUAUUUUCACUUGACCAUUUUCAAGACCAGUACCCAUGGUAAGAAGUAACUAUCACAGGGCUAUUCCCUUUAUAAGAAAUCAAUGAAGUACCAGCUUGUGCAUGUUGCUGAAUAAACUGAGUCUGCUAAAACUACAGGCUUGUGCC